GGGGGUGCUUUGGUUUCGACAGGGUUACCGAAGUGUUAGUUGCAAGCCGAGGUCUCAGACGAGGGCACUCGUAAAAAAGUCUGAAAAAAAAUAAGUGCUGACGAAAACUGCAAUAUGGGAUAGGAUUCUCGCAUGCCUGGGGCUAGAGUCCGAGAUUUACUAGGCUGGUCAAAGUCCGCGCCGACCUUCUUGGGCGUGGAUGAGACAAGAUCUUAAAUACGAAGGGAACGCUUGUAGGAACGUGCAUGGACGUGAUUUUGGACAGGGGUUCGACUCCCCUCACCUCCAU
rnacentral:tmRNA from 1 species